rnacentral:tRNA from 12 species
GGGCCGUUAGCUCAGUUGGUAGAGCACCGGACUUUUAAUCCGAUGGUCCCGCGUUCGAGUCGCGGACGGCCCACCA